UUGACUUCCUUAAGGUCACAGAGCCUGAGUGAUUGGGUCUCUUGACUCUUCAUUUUGUCUCUGGCGAAAUGUUGGUCUCCGCUUCUCCACAUUCACCCCAAACUCAUUUGUUCCAGAAAAGCACCUGUCAUCUAACCUGAGGUUCCUCCUUUUUGGGAUUCCUCACACUAAGGAAGUGAUCUGAACUUGCUUUGAGCUUACUGCCCCUGAGGCCAUUUUGGCCUGUGCCUUGUGGCCGCCAGGCCGCUCACCCUUACACAGAAAGGAUGCCUGGGGCAGUGGACCCAGCCACACAGGGCCAGUUUGCCCGGCCUCGCCCUAUCAGAAGGUUGGCUUGGGUCAUUACCAGGAUGCACAAUCCUGCCUCCUAGAAGUCUGGUCAACGUGGGAAUCUGUGCAGUCUCGAACAACAGAGGCUUCAGGCCUUGCCCAGUGAUCCAGGGACUAGGACGUGAACACACGUUUUACUCCUCCAUGUCAACGUGGGUGUCCCGAGCAGGACCCUCUCUCCCAAGGCCCAGGCAAGGAUUUUCUAACCAAGUAUGUAGUUAGAGGAAAAUUCAAUCCACAUGUGUCUGACUCACUGAUCUCCAAAUCAUCCUCAAGUUUGAUUCUGGGCAUGGUUUGAUAUACACUCUGCUUUUUUUCCAACUUUUGGAUUGGUAAGUUGGCCAAGGCAUAAUAAAUAAACAGCAACCCUGAGAGACAGAAGGAAGCUCCAAGUAGAGGCCUGACCCGCAGGCUCCUCUUCUGCCCGUGCUGCGGGGUGCGGAGCCCUCCUGAAGACCACUGGGCUCAGAAGAUGGUGACACCACAGGCUGGCGGCUGCUGAUCUUCACUGCACCCUCGAGGGCACACAGUGAGUCCCCUGGCAUCCAAGGCCAUCCCAGACCUCCACCAUUCCUUUCUUCUCGAGAUCCACGUGAAGAGAAAAAGGAGUCCAUCAGGGAAGAAUCUCCUUGGGUGCCGUCUCUCCCGACACAGCCGUCUGUCUCAGCAGCCCUCCUCCUCAGUGCCCCGUCUGGGAAGGGCCAGCCCGGCCGCAGAACCCCGCCGUGCGUCCCCUGCCGUCCGGCACCGUCUUCGGCCUUCUGUGUGCUCUCGCUGGUUGGGUCCCCAGUCGUCCUCCUGUGUUGAAAUCUCAGUCUGUUUCCUGGGGAACCUGACCUGGGAUAAGAAAGUGCUUCGGGCAGAGGGACAGUCACCAGGAUGCCAUUUCUUCCCGGUCCCACAGUUGCUGCCUAGACCUGAUGCCCGUGAGUUCUGCAUCCUGCCCAUCUGACCAUGCAGACCUGUAACCAGCUGCGCUCCGCAGCGCUCGCCUUCUCAGAUGUGUCCGCCCGUCGCCGGUCUGGGGCCGACAGCCCUGGGGGGCAGGCCUGGUCCGUGCCUGCAGCUCUGAGCCCACCGCUUCGCCUCGCGUAGACUCAGCACUCUCAGCACAGCGGCCCCGCCCCAGCCCUUCCUGGCUGUGCAGAGUCUGCCUCCUGGGUUCAGACCCUGCUGUCUGCUCCUGCCACAGCAGCUCAGGGACCAGGCAGCCGGCGAGGACAGGGAACACGCGGAAAAGGGUCUAUCUGGGAGGAGGGGCCGCAGCUGAGCAUCCGGCUGGGCUCCCUCCUCAUGUCCUCACUCCCCACACCUGCAUUUGCAAGCACCCACCCUAGUCCCUGGAGUCCCAGGCCUGCUUUGCCUGCUUUCUUCUUGGUCAUUGUGAGUUUCUCACUGUGGCAAAGUCAUAAUGCAAGUAAAAGAAUAUGUUUCUGACUGA